rnacentral:miRNA from 1 species
AACAGAGAGAGGGAGAGAGAGAGAGAGAGAGAUAUAUAUAUAUAUAUAUAUAAAUAUAGAUAGAUAUAGAUAUAGAUAGAUAUAGAUAGAUAUAUAUAUAUAUAUAUCUCUCUCUCUCUCUCUCUCCUCUCUUUCUCU